AAAAUUAGACGAUUUUACAAAUGUAGAGGCAGUUUGAGUAUGCCACUGUAACGGUAACCAUAUUUUUGGUUACAAAAAUACAUUUAUAGUGCAAAACAAAAUGCGUGUCCAGACUUUAAUAUGGAAUAAUUGAAUAUAAAGGCAUGUGACUUUAGUUGGAAUAAAAUUUGAAUCGUACGGUGUUGGUUGGAAAAAUUUAUUGAUCCCAGUGAAUAAGAGCUGCUCAGGCCAGUUUCAUGAGCAACAACUGUUCUAUCAAAAUAUCAAUUAUAAUGAAAGUGUAGAGAUCCAUACACUUUACAAUUUAUGCUCCCAAAGUUCUAUUUCCGUGUUUUAUUCAAUUAACUACCAAUUUAUUGUGUGUGCAACAUCCAUCUUUAAUUCACCACAUAAUAUGUUUUAAGCUCAGGCAACAAGAAAAUAAGUAAAAUUAAAUCAGUGGCGUUGUAACAGUGAAUUUUUCAUUCAUUAUAUUGGUUCGAUGUCAUCAAUUUCAUUUAUUGUGACGAACGGAAUUGGUAUCGAUAUAAAUGUGUUAGUUAUACUGUUCGCCAGUCAAUUGAAGUGAACUCCAUAAAUAACUCGUUUUACUGUGCUAAAAACUGUCCAAGAUUGGGUCGAAUAGGGAUUACACAAAGCUCCAUAUUAAAUGGAGAUGGACAAUUCGAACAAAGAACUACCAAAUUCGAGACCAAAUUGGAUGUGUUCCCGAAAUCUGGCGAUCUCGGUGGCACUAAUUUUAGUAUUGCUACCAUUGUUCAAUUCCCUGCCACAUCACAGUUUAGCGAAACGGAGCACAUUCUUUGAAAUUGAAUGCAAAGGCGUAUUUAACAAAUCAAUAUUUUAUCGGUUAGAUAGGAUAUGCGAGGAUUGCUAUCAGUUGUUUAGAGAACCAGAAAUACAUCAAGGUUGCAAGAGACGAUGUUUUACUACCGAAUUCUUCAAAGGGUGUUUAGAUUCAUUACAAUUAACAGAUGAAAUCGAAGAAAUUAAAAGCUACAUUAAACAAGUAAACGGAGGUCAACCUCCUGUUUUAAAACACUGAACGAAAUGGGAUAUUAAUCAUUUUCGUAUAACAAUCCCAUGAAAAUAUACUUUGUAAAAACAAACACAAAGAACAGGCAACUCUAUUUAUUUUUUAAUUUAUUUAACACAGAAAAGAGCUUUAAAUCAAAAUUAUUUUUAUAAUAAAAAUUAUGUUUAAUAUUGUAAAAAUAAAUCAAAAACAAUUAAAUGUUAUUAAUGGUUAUGUGAGAGCAAUUUAAAAUUAAAUUUAAAAAAAAAAACAUUUUACUAAGUUUACGAUGAAUUUAUGUAUCGUUUCGUAACAUUGAAUCGUUGAGAAGAAGUGUGUAAUAAAAACAACAUCAUCGAAAGUAUUAAAACAAAAUUGAAAUGAUCUAAACACUCUAAACGACGACAAGCCGUUCAUCGAUAUUUUGGUUUCAUCCAUUUUAAUUCCAUCCGAUAUAACAAUCGAUUGGAAUUCUAUCACAGAUAGAGCUGGGCGCAUUAUUUCAUUUUGUGUUUUUAAAGUUUUUUUUGCUUUGUUUAUGGGCAAAGUGUUUUGGUACCGAAUUUUUCACUGGAUGUGUUGAAGCACUAUUGCUGCAAGAAGAAAUCGAAAAAUUUGAAAAAUGGCGUGAAAUGUUGGGAAAACGAAAAUAAAUUAAUCCUAGCAACGUCUAAAUCAGCUGACACCUAUCGGAGAGUGUUAAUGAUGUAUAAAUAAUAAACCAUCUUAUAAUAUCAAGAUUUUCUAAUUUUGAUUUUUUUUUUAAAUUAAUUAAACUCAAUGAAGUAAAAUAUUUUAUUAAUCAUAAAAAAAUAGUGGCAACACUCUUUAUCUAGUCCUUGGAUAAUUUUUAAGUUUUUAUUAAUUUUUCUUUGUUUUAAGUUUACUUGAAGUACAUUGUAUCGACAAAUGAAAUUAGUAUUUAUAUUUUGUUUUGUAAAGUUAGUUUUGUUAAUUAAUUAAAAUUAAUGAAUAUAAAGAAAAACAACGGCUGGAACAUUAAAUUGUCAUAAAAUAACCAAUGAAAAUUAUAAUAAAAUAUUGUUAACAAUAAAAUUUAUUUUGAAAUCAAUAAUUUAAAAACAAAAACAUUUGUAAUUCAACAUAACACAAAACACACAUUCCUUAAACAGCAGUAUUUCCAUGGAAAACUAAAGAAAAAUCAAAUCAAAUGGAAAUAAAACUCAAGUCUGUUCUAAAAAAAAUUAUGAAAACUGAGAACAGUAUACCAUCUUAAGUAUUUUAAUUUAAAAAAAGGAAAACACAAAAUAUAUUUCUGAUAUUGCAAACAAAAAAAAAA